CGGAGCCAAGAUGGCGGCAUGAGUAGAGCAGCGGAAAUCUCCUCCCAAAACCACAUAAACCUAUGAAAAUAUAACAAAGACAACUCUUCCUAAAAUAGAGACCAGAGGACACAGGACAACAUCCAGACCACAUCCACACCUGCGAGAACCCAGUGCCUCGUAAAGGGGGAGAGGAGGGCCACAAACCAACAAGAAGGAAAGCUCUUCCAGCCGUCACUUGUACCAGCUCUGCAAACUAUCUCUAUCACCAUGAAAAGGCAAAACUACAGGCAAACCAAAAUCACAGAGUCAACAACUGAGAAGGAGACAGAUCCUAACCAGUCUUCCUGAAAAAGAAUUCAAAAUAAAAAUCAUGAACAUGCUGACGGAGAUGCAGAGAAAAAUGCAAGAGCAAUGGGAUGAAGUCCGGAG